UUGGGGCUCGAUCGUCAUGCCCUGUCAUCCACGGUGACGUGAAGUCGUGGGAAAGCAACAGCGGCGCGACACGGGAACCGGGAACCGGGAACCGGGAACGAUUCCCAAUGAUUCAUCAGGGCUUCUGGGAACUGCUAACGUGCAGUGAACUCUUUUCACACAUUUUACCGGGAAACAGAAACGUUUGACGUGGUCAACAUAGCCUACAUGUGAUCUAACGUGUUUAUCUUUGACAAGCAUUUAGAAAACAAAUACAUAAUCGUAGCAUUCAUGCAACGAUCGUAUCCCUGUCUUCGCUCAGGUGGACUUUAUGUAGACACAGUGUCUGCAUUUAUGAUUUCAUCUCCCCAGGCGAAUUGACAAUUAAACAAAUAGGACAUAGCCUACAACGAGUCCAGACGUCUUCAACAUCAUUUUCAGUUCGCAGCCGAAGCGCUGAGGAUGCAGCAUUUUCUGCAGGUUUACAGUUCUGCAGAACGACGAGGGAUUAUGUCUAACCCCGCCAUGAAGGCUAAAGAGCCCCAUCUCUCCAACAACAAGAAAGCUUGCCGAAGAGCAUUUUGAUCAUCCUGUGAUGCGCCGCUGUGUGACAGCUCUCAGACACAGAUAUUUAGUUUCCCACUCAAAGAACCCCAACUCAGGAGAUUAGUGGAGAAACUUCUGAGUCUGACACUGAAAUAUUGUUUUUCAAUGCAAUCAGCCUGACCACUAUCUACACGACAUGUCUGUUUGUGAAUGUGAGUGCGCCUUUUAGAUUUUUUUUCUUUUUUCUCAUCUUCUCUCCUUUCUCUUUUGCUGGAUUUAUGCUUUCCCUCUCUUCUCAAAGUCAGACCAAGGUUUACUAAGAGGUCUGAAUCAGCCAGUAUUUUCUUUUUAAAAGUACGUUUUGAUCCGUAUGAAAAGAAGAAUAGCGGCAGUUUUGGAAAAUCCAUUUGAAAAGGAAGAAAAAAAACAGAAAAAGUAAAGUUAAAAGCAAGUCUUGCAUCUGGGUAUUUGGUGCUACUGAAAGCAGUGGAAGCAUAUUAUAUUUCAUAUCCAGAUCUAAGUACAUUAUGUGUUGAUUAAAAUACAAAUAUUUGACCCGAGAGAAUGUGCUGUCUUAAUUAAAAAUAUCAGGAUCGAGGUUUGUACUCAACUAAAAUAACUUGAAAUUGUAUAACACCUUGUUUAUUUUGGCAGGACAAUACUGAAAAUAACUUGUCAUUAAUUGUAAUAAUCAAAUUGAAAUUGACAAGUGCUUUACCGUAAAUAAAUCAUGGGAAGGACACCUCUAGUCCACUCAAAAGGAAACAUUUGUGCAUGAGUUUAAAGGGCAAUAUAAGGCUCUUGUAAAAGUGUGUACAGGUGUUUUAAUUCCCACAGUAAAUUCCUGAGGGCUUGAGCAGACCUGUCGGGUUGAACCCAGACCAGAUGUUGCACAGAAGAGUCAGAUGUUCAAGUGGCUAUAAGAAACCCAUCUGCGUGGAAAAAAUUUGGAAAACAUCAACACCAUAUGAUUAUAAAUGCUUUUUAUUUCACUCACGAGAUGCUCGGCCAACAGCAGCCACAACACACUGAAUUACUGUGUGACAAACAGUGGAAAUAACAGCUUGGAGGAAUUAUCACACACUUGAAGUGGCUCCCCUAAAGAUCUAAUAUGGCCCCCUGGUGAGCCAAGUGAAUACUGACUGCUAUGUGUUUUUAUUUAACGAUAUUUGUUUUAUUUAAAAUGAAGAUUAAAGCCCCCGUGUUUGAUACUACUAUAAUAAUAACACCUUCUGCCCAAUGCUGUUCUUCCAAACACAGACUGGGCAGCUGCAGGAAGUUGGACCCACAGCUAAUAAACCUGUCUACCAUUAUAAAUCAAUAUAACUUGU